UCCUCAGUCAAACCCCGGGCCAUC
rnacentral:piRNA from 1 species